rnacentral:rRNA from 1 species
GUUAGGAAUAUUGGACAAUGGGCGCAAGCCUGAUCCAGCCAUGCCGCGUGAGUGAUGAAGGCCUUCGGGUUGUAAAGCUCUUUAGUCCACGAAUAUAAUGACUGUAGUGGAAGAAUAAGCCCCGGCUAACUUCGUGCCAGCAGCCGCGGUAAUACGAAGGGGGCGAGCGUUAUUCGGAAUCACUGGGCGUAAAGCGUGCGUAGGCUGUUUUGUAAGUCAGAAGUGAAAGCCCAGGGCUUAACCCUGGAAUUGCUUUUGAAACUACAAGACUCGAAUUCGAGAGAGGAUAGCGGAAUUGUCAGUGUAGCAGUGAAAUGCGUAGAUAUUGACAGGAACACCAGUGGCGCAAGCGGCUAUCUGGACCGAUAUUGACGCUGAGGCACGAAAGCGUGGGGAGCAAACAGGAUUAGAUACCCGGGUAGUCC